UGCAAAUUUCUACUCUUUUGGGUACAGAAGUGUAAUUAUCUUUCCAGGGGCCAUGUUCUUAUAAUAAAGAAGAAAAAUCUGUAAAAGUGGAAGUAAAUUCAAUUCCUCAGAACAAGAAAAUAGUAUUAGCUGAGAAUAAGAAAUUUGCUUUGCAUGUGAAGACAGAAGACUGUAAGACCAAUCUUGACCUCCGCUUGGGAUAUGACCUUUGCUCACAAGAGCAAGAUUUUUUACACAAAAGAAAGAGCA